GACGAACGCUGGCGGCGUGCUUAACACAUGCAAGUCGAACGGUGAAGCGCCUUCCUUUUUGGUGGGUGUGGAUGAGUGGCGAACGGGGGAGUAACACGUGAGUAACCUGCCCCCUUCUUCUGGAUAACCGCAUGAAAGUGUGGCUAAUACGGGAUAUUCUGGGUCUGUCGCAUGAUGGGUCUGGGAAAGAUAUUGUUUCGGUGGGGGAUGGGCUCGCGGCCUGUCAGCUUGUUGGUGGGGUGAUGGCCUACCAAGGCGGUGACGGGUAGCCGGCCUGAGAGGGUCGACGGUCACACUGGGACUGAGACACGGCCCAGACUCCUACGGGAGGCAGCAGUGGGGAAUAUUGCACAAUGGGCGCAAGCCUGAUGCAGCGACGCCGCGUGAGGGAUGGAGGCCUUCGGGUUGUGAACCUCUUUCGCCAGUGAAGCAGGCCUGCCUCGUUUGUGGGUGGGUUGACGGUAGCUGGAUAAGAAGCGCCGGCUAACUACGUG
rnacentral:rRNA from 1 species